rnacentral:rRNA from 1 species
CAGUAGCCGCGGGAAUACGUAGGUGGCGAGCGUUGUCCGGAAUUAUUGGGCGUAAAGGGAGCGCAGGCGGACAUAUAAGUCCAUCUUAAAAGUGCGGGGCUCAACCCCGUGAGGGGAUGGAAACUGUAUGCCUUGAGUGUAGGAGAGGAAAGCGGAAUUCCCAGUGUAGCGGUGAAAUGCGUAGAUAUUGGGAGGAACACCAGUGGCGAAGGCGGCUUUCUGGACUGCAACUGACGCCGAGGCUCGAAAGCCAGGGGAGCGAACGGGAUUAGAUACCCCUGUAGUCCCUGUCUCUUAUACA